rnacentral:rRNA from 1 species
GUCGACGGGAUUUAGUAAACAGAAGCUUCGGUGGAAGAUUACUAAUGAGAGUGGCGAACGGGUGAGUAACGCGUGAGCAACCUGCCUAUGACAGUGGGAUAGCCUCGGGAAACCGGGAUUAAUACCGCAUAAAAUCGUAGAAACACAUGUUUUAACGGUCAAAGAUUUAUCGGUCAUAGAUGGGCUCGCGUCUGAUUAGCUAGUUGGUGAGAUAACAGCCCACCAAGGCGACGAUCAGUAGCCGGUCUGAGAGGAUGAACGGCCACAUUGGAACUGAGACACGGUCCAAACUCCUACGGGAGGCAGCAGUGGGGAAUAUUGCACAAUGGGGGAAACCCUGAUGCAGCGACGCCGCGUGAACGAAGAAGGUAUUCGUAUCGUAAAGUUCUGUCCUAUGGGAAGAUAAUGACAGUACCAUAGAAGAAAGCUCCGGCUAAAUACGUGCCAGCAGCCGCGGUAAUACGUAUGGAGCGAGCGUUGUCCGGAAUUAUUGGGCGUAAAGGGUACGCAGGCGGUUUAAUAAGUCGAAUGUUAAAGAUCGGGGCUCAACCCCGUAAAGCAUUGGAAACUGAUAAACUUGAGUAGUGGAGAGGAAAGUGGAAUUCCUAGUGUAGUGGUGAAAUA